AAUAGAUACCCGGGUAGUCCACGCCGUAAACGAUGAGUGCUAAGUGUUAGAGGGUUUCCGCCCUUUAGUGCUGAAGUUAACGCAUUAAGCACUCCGCCUGGGGAGUACGGUCGCAAGACUGAAACUCAAAGGAAUUGACGGGGGCCCGCACAAGCGGUGGAGCAUGUGGUUUAAUUCGAAGCAACGCGAAGAACCUUACCAGGUCUUGACAUCCUCUGACAACCCUAGAGAUAGGGCUUUCCCUUCGGGGACAGAGUGACAGGUGGUGCAUGGUUGUCGUCAGCUCGUGUCGUGAGAUGUUGGGUUAAGUCCCGCAACGAGCGCAACCCUUGAUCUUAGUUGCCAGCAUUUAGUUGGGCACUCUAAGGUGACUGCCGGUGACAAACCGGAGGAAGGUGGGGAUGACGUCAAAUCAUCAUGCCCCUUAUGACCUGGGCUACACACGUGCUACAAUGGACGGUACAAAGAGUCGCAAGACCGCGAGGUGGAGCUAAUCUCAUAAAACCGUUCUCAGUUCGGAUUGUAGG
rnacentral:rRNA from 1 species